CACGUAGGGCGCGAGCGUUGUCCGGAAUUAUUGGGCGUAAAGAGCUCGUAGGCGGCCUGUUGCGUCCGCUGUGAAAGCCCGGGGCUUAACCCCGGGUCUGCAGUGGAUACGGGCAGGCUAGAGUUCGGUAGGGGAGACUGGAAUUCCUGGUGUAGCGGUGAAAUGCGCAGAUAUCAGGAGGAACACCGAUGGCGAAGGCAGGUCUCUGGGCCGAUACUGACGCUGAGGAGCGAAAGCGUGGGGAGCGAACAGG
rnacentral:rRNA from 1 species